rnacentral:rRNA from 1 species
GCAAGUCGAACGGAAACAUGUCUAGCUUGCUAGAUGAUGUCGAGUGGCGGACGGGUGAGUAAUACUUAGGAACAUGCCUUUGGGUGGGGGAUAACUAUUGGAAACGAUAGCUAAUACCGCAUGAUGUCUACGGACCAAAGGGGGGAGCUUGGUCCUCCCGCCCAGAGAGUGGCCUAAGCGAGAUUAGCUUGUUGGUGAGGUAAAGGCUCACCAAGGCGACGAUCUCUAGCUGUUCUGAGAGGAAGAUC